ACUAAGCGUACACGGUGGAUGCCCUGGCAGUCAGAGGCGAUGAAGGACGUGCUAAUCUGCGAUAAGCGUCGGUAAGGUGAUAUGAACCGUUAUAACCGGCGAUUUCCGAAUGGGGAAACCCAGUGUGAUUCGUCACACUAUCAUUAACUGAAUCCAUAGGUUAAUGAGGCGAACCGGGGGAACUGAAACAUCUAAGUACCCCGAGGAAAAGAAAUCAACCGAGAUUCCCCCAGUAGCGGCGAGCGAACGGGGAGCAGCCCAGAGCCUGAAUCAGUGUGUGUGUUAGUGGAAGCGUCUGGAAAGGCGCGCGAUACAGGGUGACAGCCCCGUACACAAAAAUGCACAUGCUGUGAGCUCGAUGAGUAGGGCGGGACACGUGGUAUCCUGUCUGAAUAUGGGGGGACCAUCCUCCAAGGCUAAAUACUCCUGACUGACCGAUAGUGAACCAGUACCGUGAGGGAAAGGCGAAAAGAACCCCGGCGAGGGGAGUGAAAAAGAACCUGAAACCGUGUACGUACAAGCAGUGGGAGCACGCUUAGGCGUGUGACUGCGUACCUUUUGUAUAAUGGGUCAGCGACUUAUAUUCUGUAGCAAGGUUAACCGAAUAGGGGAGCCGAAGGGAAACCGAGUCUUAACUGGGCGUUAAGUUGCAGGGUAUAGACCCGAAACCCGGUGAUCUAGCCAUGGGCAGGUUGAAGGUUGGGUAACACUAACUGGAGGACCGAACCGACUAAUGUUGAAAAAUUAGCGGAUGACUUGUGGCUGGGGGUGAAAGGCCAAUCAAACCGGGAGAUAGCUGGUUCUCCCCGAAAGCUAUUUAGGUAGCGCCUCGUGAAUUCAUCUCCGGGGGUAGAGCACUGUUUCGGCAAGGGGGUCAUCCCGACUUACCAACCCGAUGCAAACUGCGAAUACCGGAGAAUGUUAUCACGGGAGACACACGGCGGGUGCUAACGUCCGUCGUGAAGAGGGAAACAACCCAGACCGCCAGCUAAGGUCCCAAAGUCAUGGUUAAGUGGGAAACGAUGUGGGAAGGCCCAGACAGCCAGGAUGUUGGCUUAGAAGCAGCCAUCAUUUAAAGAAAGCGUAAUAGCUCACUGGUCGAGUCGGCCUGCGCGGAAGAUGUAACGGGGCUAAACCAUGCACCGAAGCUGCGGCAGCGACGCUUAUGCGUUGUUGGGUAGGGGAGCGUUCUGUAAGCCUGCGAAGGUGUGCUGUGAGGCAUGCUGGAGGUAUCAGAAGUGCGAAUGCUGACAUAAGUAACGAUAAAGCGGGUGAAAAGCCCGCUCGCCGGAAGACCAAGGGUUCCUGUCCAACGUUAAUCGGGGCAGGGUGAGUCGACCCCUAAGGCGAGGCCGAAAGGCGUAGUCGAUGGGAAACAGGUUAAUAUUCCUGUACUUGGUGUUACUGCGAAGGGGGGACGGAGAAGGCUAUGUUGGCCGGGCGACGGUUGUCCCGGUUUAAGCGUGUAGGCUGGUUUUCCAGGCAAAUCCGGAAAAUCAAGGCUGAGGCGUGAUGACGAGGCACUACGGUGCUGAAGCAACAAAUGCCCUGCUUCCAGGAAAAGCCUCUAAGCAUCAGGUAACAUCAAAUCGUACCCCAAACCGACACAGGUGGUCAGGUAGAGAAUACCAAGGCGCUUGAGAGAACUCGGGUGAAGGAACUAGGCAAAAUGGUGCCGUAACUUCGGGAGAAGGCACGCUGAUAUGUAGGUGAAGCGACUUGCUCGUGGAGCUGAAAUCAGUCGAAGAUACCAGCUGGCUGCAACUGUUUAUUAAAAACACAGCACUGUGCAAACACGAAAGUGGACGUAUACGGUGUGACGCCUGCCCGGUGCCGGAAGGUUAAUUGAUGGGGUCAGCGCAAGCGAAGCUCUUGAUCGAAGCCCCGGUAAACGGCGGCCGUAACUAUAACGGUCCUAAGGUAGCGAAAUUCCUUGUCGGGUAAGUUCCGACCUGCACGAAUGGCGUAAUGAUGGCCAGGCUGUCUCCACCCGAGACUCAGUGAAAUUGAACUCGCUGUGAAGAUGCAGUGUACCCGCGGCAAGACGGAAAGACCCCGUGAACCUUUACUAUAGCUUGACACUGAACAUUGAGCCUUGAUGUGUAGGAUAGGUGGGAGGCUUGGAAGUGUGGACGCCAGUCUGCAUGGAGCCGACCUUGAAAUACCACCCUUUAAUGUUUGAUGUUCUAACGUGGACCCGUGAUCCGGGUUGCGGACAGUGUCUGGUGGGUAGUUUGACUGGGGCGGUCUCCUCCUAAAGAGUAACGGAGGAGCACGAAGGUUGGCUAAUCCUGGUCGGACAUCAGGAGGUUAGUGCAAUGGCAUAAGCCAGCUUGACUGCGAGCGUGACGGCGCGAGCAGGUGCGAAAGCAGGUCAUAGUGAUCCGGUGGUUCUGAAUGGAAGGGCCAUCGCUCAACGGAUAAAAGGUACUCCGGGGAUAACAGGCUGAUACCGCCCAAGAGUUCAUAUCGACGGCGGUGUUUGGCACCUCGAUGUCGGCUCAUCACAUCCUGGGGCUGAAGUAGGUCCCAAGGGUAUGGCUGUUCGCCAUUUAAAGUGGUACGCGAGCUGGGUUUAGAACGUCGUGAGACAGUUCGGUCCCUAUCUGCCGUGGGCGCUGGAGAACUGAGGGGGGCUGCUCCUAGUACGAGAGGACCGGAGUGGACGCAUCACUGGUGUUCGGGUUGUCAUGCCAAUGGCACUGCCCGGUAGCUAAAUGCGGAAGAGAUAAGUGCUGAAAGCAUCUAAGCACGAAACUUGCCCCGAGAUGAGUUCUCCCUGACCCUUUAAGGGUCCUGAAGGAACGUUGAAGACGACGACGUUGAUAGGCCGGGUGUGUAAGCGCAGCGAUGCGUUGAGCUAACCGGUACUAAUGAACCGUGAGGCUUAACC
rnacentral:rRNA from 1 species